GACGAACGCUGGCGGCGUGCCUAAUACAUGCAAGUUGAGCGCUGAAGGUUGGUACUUGUACCGACUGGAUGAGCAGCGAACGGGUGAGUAACGCGUGGGGAAUCUGCCUUUGAGCGGGGGACAACAUUUGGAAACGAAUGCUAAUACCGCAUAAAAACUUUAAACACAAGUUUUAAGUUUGAAAGAUGCAAUUGCAUCACUCAAAGAUGAUCCCGCGUUGUAUUAGCUAGUUGGUGAGGUAAAGGCUCACCAAGGCGAUGAUACAUAGCCGACCUGAGAGGGUGAUCGGCCACAUUGGGACUGAGACACGGCCCAAACUCCUACGGGAGGCAGCAGUAGGGAAUCUUCGGCAAUGGACGAAAGUCUGACCGAGCAACGCCGCGUGAGUGAAGAAGGUUUUCGGAUCGUAAAACUCUGUUGGUAGAGAAGAACGUUGGUGAGAGUGGAAAGCUCAUCAAGUGACGGUAACUACCCAGAAAGGGACGGCUAACUACGUGCCAGCAG
rnacentral:rRNA from 1 species